rnacentral:rRNA from 16 species
CAGUGGGGAAUAUUGCACAAUGGGCGCAAGCCUGAUGCAGCCAUGCCGCGUGAAUGAUGAAGGCCUUAGGGUUGUAAAAUUCUUUCGCCAGGGAUGAUAAUGACAGUACCUGGUAAAGAAGCCCCGGCUAACUUCGUGCCAGCAGCCGCGGUAAUACGAAGGGGGCUAGCGUUGUUCGGAAUUACUGGGCGUAAAGCGCGCGUAGGCGGCUUGGUCAGUGAUGUGUGAAAGCCCCGGGCUCAACCUGGGAACUGCAUGUCAUACUGCCAAGCUAGAGUACGGUAGAGGGGGGUAGAAUUUCUUGUGUAGCGGUGAAAUGCGUAGAU